GCCUUGGUGGCUUGAUGGUUAAGCAUUUGGCUGCUAACUGAAAGGUCGGAGGUUUAAACCUACCAGUGGCU
rnacentral:tRNA from 1 species